AGCCUUUCGAAUUCAUGCUGAGAUUUCGUCAGACACCAACCUAUUAGGGCUGAUCAGACUUCCAAGAUAAGUGAAGUU
rfam:Schistosoma margrebowiei strain Zambia genome assembly, scaffold: SMRZ_contig0000040